UCAAUAAUAGUUAAAAAAAAACUAUAGUAUUGGAAACUAUCAUUCACAUUGUGUUAUUGAA
rnacentral:tRNA from 1 species